rnacentral:lncRNA from 1 species
UAAAAGCGGGCUGGGUGCCGCGGCGGAGCGCCGGGCGGCGAGCGGGGCCGGGAGGCGGAGAGCCACCGCCUCAGCCUGUGUGGCGAAGGGGAGGGAGCCUCGGGUCGCCCUCCCGGCCUCUCCCGGUGGGGCGGCCCGGUGGCGGCCGGCUCCGAGCCCCGAGGGGAAACCUCCCGGGUCGGGACCCCGCGGUAAGAGGGCUCCGGGGCCGGUGGAGCGGACCCGGGGGCGGCGGGGAGCACCAGGGGUGCCGGCGGCUGAGCCCAGCCGGGCCGCGGCCCCCGAGAAGCACCGCGGAGAGAUUCAUGAGGAGAAGAACACUUAAAAAAGACUCGCUGAAGACUUUUUGGUUCCUUGCACAGCCCACCACUUGAAGGAGAAGGAAUUCUUCAACCUUUUGUUUCCAAAGACCUUGGACUGGUUUCCGCCGCUCAACUCCCUGUUUUGGUGAAGGCAAGAUCCAAAGAGGAGGAUGAGGCAGCUGAGAGGAAAACCCAAAAAAGAGACCUCCAAAGAUAAAAAGGAGAGAAAACAGGCGAUGCAAGAGGCCCGGCAACAGAUCACCACCGUGGUGCUUCCCACGCUGGCCGUGGUGGUGCUGCUGAUCGUCGUCUUCGUUUAUGUCGCGACUCGUCCCAAUACAACCGAAUGAUGCAGCUUUUCAGACUUUCUAGCUUUGGGGUAUUAAUAAUUUUAUCCCGAGCCAAAAGGAACUCUCUGCCACUCUUCCAGUGCUUCACCAAGGAACUCGCUGGUAUUUUCAGUCUGUCUCUUGGUUGGGGUCCCGCAGGUUCUCUUUGGGAAUGUAACAAAACGUAUUAGCGGCCGAGCCUGUACGUUUUAUGGUCCGGUUCAUGUGCCUUUCAGAACUUUCCAAUGGUGUUUUUUCUUAAAUCUGUUUGAAGCUCUAUAUUGUAAAAGGAAAUGGUGUCCUGCUAUAAAUUUGUUAAAAAAAAAUAAUAAAAAUAAAUCAGCUUUCA